rnacentral:rRNA from 1 species
UACGGGGGGCAAGCGUUGUUCGGAAUUACUGGCGUAAAGGGCUCGUAGGCGGCCAACUAAGUCAGACGUGAAAUCCCUCGGCUUAACCGGGGAACUGCCUUUGAUACUGAAGAUCUUGAGUUCAGGAGAGGUGAGUGGAACUGCGAGUGUAGAGGUGAAAUUCGUAGAUAUUCGCAAGAACACCAGUGGCGAAGGCGGCUCACUGGCCCGAGUACUGACGCUGAGGCACGAAAGCGUGGG